rnacentral:rRNA from 1 species
UACGUAGGUGGCAAGCGUUGUCCGGAAUUAUUGGGCGUAAAGCGCGCGCAGGCGGUCCUUUAAGUCUGAUGUGAAAGCCCACGGCUCAACCGUGGAGGGUCAUUGGAAACUGGGGGACUUGAGUGCAGGAGAGAAAAGUGGAAUUCCACGUGUAGCGGUGAAAUGCGUAGAGAUGUGGAGGAACACCAGUGGCGAAGGCGACUUACUGGACUGUAACUGACGCUGAGGCAUGAAAGCGUGGGGAGCAAACAGG